rnacentral:rRNA from 1 species
AGUGAACGCUGGCGGUAGGCCUAACACAUGCAAGUCGAACGGCAGCACAGUAAGAGCUUGCUCUUACGGGUGGCGAGUGGCGGACGGGUGAGGAAUACAUCGGAAUCUACUUUUUCGUGGGGGAUAACGUAGGGAAACUUACGCUAAUACCGCAUACGACCUACGGGUGAAAGCAGGGGAUCUUCGGACCUUGCGCGAUUGAAUGAGCCGAUGUCGGAUUAGCUAGUUGGCGGGGUAAAGGCCCACCAAGGCGACGAUCCGUAGCUGGUCUGAGAGGAUGAUCAGCCACACUGGAACUGAGACAAGGUCCAGACUCCUAAGGGAGGCAGCAGUGGGGAAUAUUGGACAAAGGGCGCAAGCCUGAUCCAGCCAUACCGCGUGGGUGAAGAAGGCCUUCGGGUUGUAAAGCCCUUUUGUUGGGAAAGAAAAGCAGCAGGUUAAUACCCCGCUGUUCUGACGGUACCCAAAGAAUAAGCACCGGCUAACUUCGUG